rnacentral:rRNA from 1 species
AUUGAACGCUGGCGGCAGGCCUAACACAUGCAAGUCGAGCGGAUGAAGGGAGCUUGCUCCUGGAUUCAGCGGCGGACGGGUGAGUAAUGCCUAGGAAUCUGCCUGGUAGUGGGGGAUAACGUCCGGAAACGGGCGCUAAUACCGCAUACGUCCUGAGGGAGAAAGUGGGGGAUCUUCGGACCUCACGCCAUCAGAUGAGCCUAGGUCGGAUUAGCUAGUUGGUGGGGUAAAGGCCUACCAAGGCGACGAUCCGUAACUGGUCUGAGAGGAUGAUCAGUCACACUGGAACUGAGACACGGUCCAGACUCCUACGGGAGGCAGCAGUGGGGAAUAUUGGACAAUGGGCGAAAGCCUGCUCCAGCCAUGCCGCGUGUGUGAAGAAGGUCUUCGGAUUGUAAAGCACUUUAAGUUGGGAGGAAGGGCAGUACGUUAAUACCUUGCUGUUUUGACGUUACCAACAGAAUAAGCACCGGCUAACUUCGUG